GAUUGCCCUAGUAACGGCGAGUGAAGCGGCAACAGCUCAAAUUUGAAAGCUGGCUCCGGCCCGCAUUGUAAUUUGCAGAGGAUGCUUUUGGUGAGGUGCCUUCCGAGUUCCCUGGAACGGGACGCCACAGAGGGUGAGAGCCCCGUAUGGAUGGACACCAAACCUGUGUAAAGCUCCUUCAACGAGUCGAGUAGUUUGGGAAUGCUGCUCAAAAUGGGAGGUAAAUCUCUUCUAAAGCUAAAUACCGGCCAGAGACCGAUAGCGCACAAGUAGAGUGAUCGAAAGAUGAAAAGCACCUUGAAAAGGGGGUUAAACAGUACGUGAAAUUGUUGAAAGGGAAGCGUUUAUGACCAGACUUGCGCCGGGCAGCUCAUCAGGGGUUCUCCCCUGUGCACUCUGCCCGGCUCAGGCCAGCAUCGGUUCUCGUGGGAGGAUAAGAACGGUGGGAAUGUGGCCCCCUCUCGGGGGGGUGUUAUAGCCUGCCGUACGAUACUCCCGUGGGGACCGAGGUUCGCGCUCCGCAAGGAUGCUGGCGUAAUGGUCAUCAACGACCCGUCUUGAAACACGGACCAAGGAGUCGUCCAUUAGAGCGAGCGUUUGGGUGUAAAACCCGCACGCGUAAUGAAAGUGAACGCAGGUGAGAGCUUCGGCGCAUCAUCGACCGAUCCUGAUGUCCUCGGAUGGAUUUGAGUAAGAGUUUUAACGGACGGACCCGAAAGACAGUGAACUAUGCUUGUAUAGGGUGAAGCCAGAGGAAACUCUGGUGGAGGCUCGCAGCGGUUCUGACGUGCAAAUCGAUCGUCAAAUAUGAGCA
rnacentral:rRNA from 1 species